CUCCCGGAAGGGGUCCCGAAUGUCCCCAAAGUUCCCAUGGGGUCCCCCAAAGGGUCCUUGGUGUCCCCAAAAUGUCCCCUGUGAUAAGAAACAGAAGUCCCUUUUUGUUCACUGUCCGUAUAAGGUUAAGAACAAUGUAAAUAAGUAACCGCAGCUAUGCUUAAAGAAAUGGUUUACGUAAGUGAAACUAGUUAUAAGGAACAAAUAGUGUUGCAAUCAGUACUUAUAAGGUUGCGUAAGAACUUUUUGCAGCCCAAGUCAAGAAGAAGACACUGAGGAAGACUCGCGAGGGCCUUCAUCAACGACCACCAGAAGGUAGAAAACGAACCCCUAUCAACUGCCGGAGCACGCGCGAUAAGCACCAAGAGGAUGACUCAAGAAGAAGAGCGGGUGCUUAAAAAGAGAACUGAAAACCGCGGUCGGCGCGGCAGUUGGUGGAGCGGUGACUCCCCUGUCGCCCAGCGCUGCAUUUUGCUUUUCUUUCCAAUAAAUUGCUAUUUUAAUUGGCUAAAAUGGCCCGUUGUGCUCAUUGAUAACAAUUUGGUGCCGUGACUCGGAUCGGUGAUAGGGGUGAUUUUCUACCCGUGAGGGGGGCGCCCCACCAUUUUGGUGGCCCUCGGGGUUAGGAGGUCGCCCUACUCCCGACCGACGAACCUAAAAUUAAGGAAAGGAAAGCAAAGGGAAUUGAGGGCCCAGGGAACCCCUUAAAAGCUUUGUGCACAAGGUCCGGACGAAGACGCAGGACGCGUGCAGCCGGGAGAUUGGGUCCUGGUCCGGAGCUGGAAAGAGAACCCGUUAACCCCGAAGUGGGAGAGACCGUAUUUAGUACUACUCACCACUGAUACGGCAGUACGAACAGCAGAGAAAGGAUGGACUCAUGCUAGUCGAAUAAAAGGACCCAUAAAUCCAUCAGAAUUCUCCAAAAACAAGGAUCCUCAGUGGAAUAUCAAAGGAACACCUGGAGAUUUGAAGUUUACUUUAACAAGGACUUUAUCCUAAAUGGACGCUGGGGACAUUUGGGUAGGGGAUAAUUGAGUGUUGCAGAAAGAACUGAUUGGAACUUCAGAACCACCUGGAUAUUGUGAAUAUUUAGAAAAACUUACCCAACAACCCUACUAUCGAGAAAUAAGAUUAAUAAAUAAAGAUAAGUUAUAUAAUGGGGAAGAAAAUGUUGAUCACAAUAAUAUAAGAAUAGUUUGUAGUUGGUUAGAUUGUAAUUGUUAUCCAUUUAUAUGUUUUUGUUGUAAAAUCUGUAAAGAGUUGUGGUGGGUUCAUUGCCGAAGAGGGCGGGCUCCUAGAAGUGUGUGUCAACCCUGUUGGGGGGAACAGCGCGAGCUGACUGCCCUGGCCCUAAGUCAGAAAGUAGCAGCUCGAGAGCUUAAAGUGGGAUCCCCAUCCUGGUGGCAAAUAUUUUCUAAAGGUAUAAACCCCGAACUUUGUUGUUAUCACUCUAACGAGCCUGUGGGACCGUAUAACACGGAUAUUGUGAAGGCGGAGUGCCGAAAACAAGUAAAAGGAUUGAGGUGUGACACCCCACCAGUAAAGGACAAAAAUUGGCAUGCCACAAGAAGAAAGUGGAGGAGGGGAGCAAGCUCUACCCCUGAAGAACAUCCUUGCUGCCGUGAAGAUGGGUUACCCCGCAGCUAGCCGCAAUCUAGUUGGCGGGCGAGGCAGAAGGGUGAACAGUGGGGAAAAAGAGCCUCCCAAUUUAGUUACCACUAAGGUACUCACCCACGUGUGAACCCCAGGCCGAAAAGGGGGUAACAAGGGAAAUAAGACAAAAAGAAUUUACAAACAACAAAUUAGUUUCAGCCAUAAGCAACCCACAACUCUAAAGGUAUGUGUAAUGGGAAUAUUUUUAGGAUUUAUUAUAAAACCAAUAGCAGCUGACCAUGAACCUUUUAAGUGGACCUUAAGUAGAUGGGAAAGUCAUGAUACAAAGCAUGAGCUCCAGUCUGUCAUCUCCUCUGAAGCCCCAAGUUUUACAGCAGGAGUUUGUAAUUUAACUAAAGUACAGCACUGUGGUCCCCUAAAUCAUACAAGCUUUUAUAUGUGCCCUGCCUCAAAUCCCGGGAGGUCCUAUUGUAAUUAUCCGGGAGAAUAUUAUUGUGGAUAUUGGGGUUGUAAGACCAUUGCAUUUGGAUAGAAACCGGGAGCUGGGCCUGACAAAUUUCUUAAAGUAAAGUUGGAGUCCUAAAGGUUGUAAAACCCCAUGGUCAUGGGAUUCUGGCUGGUGUAAUUCCCCCAGUUGUCGAGGAAAUUGUACAUUUAUAUUUUUAAAUGCUUCUCAACCAGAAGACGCAGGAUGGCUGAUAGGCCGGACGUGGGGAAUUAGGCACUGGAAAGAUGGGCGUGAUUUCGGAAAUUUGAUCCAGAUAAAAAAGGAACCUAUACCAUAUGAUUUGGAGCCGAUAGGGCCAAAUCCAGUUAUAGGGGGUGAGAGUACAGAAAAUCAGACUAAAAUCUUAGUUCCAGGGAAAAAUGAGACAGAAAAUGAGACAGAAGUUGAAAUUGAAAACUAUCAAUCCUUUAGAGGAUACAAUGCGCUGUAGAAAACAUUACAAGCUACCGUCACGGUAUUAAACCAUACGUACCCGAAUUUGACAGAGGGGUGCUGGCUAUGUUAUAUGAUGAGACCUCCCCUAUAUGAGGCCUUGGGCUCCACAGCAAAAUCUAAACGAAUCAAUGGAACAAACCCCAGGGAAUGUUUAUGGAAAAAAGGAAGAGAGGACACCCCCGGAUUAUCACUGACUCAAGUGAUAGGGAAGGGAAGGUGCGUAGGAAAUGUACCCCCAGAAAAAGACCAUCUCUGUCAAGUAAGAAUGUCUAUUCAUGACAUCCGGAAACCUGCUCAAUAGCUUAUUCCUGCAGCAAAUGCUAAAUGGAUCUGCAACAAUUUAGGAAUUACUCCCUGUUUAAGCAUCCAACACUUUAAUGAAACAUCAGAAUACUGUGUUCAGGUUCUUAUUAUCCCUCGUAUAUCAUAUCACACGAGGGACUACGUACCGAAACACCAAAUUACCCCUGAACAUCACCUAGCAAAAAGGAAACCCUUUACAGCACUUACAGUAGCAGUAUUAUUAAGUGUUGGGGGAGUUGGGAUUGGUACUGGAGCAGCUUCAUUAAUACAACAACAGCAAAAGAUGAGAGCUUUAAGGGUAUCAGUAGAUGAAGACUUGAACAGAAUGGAAAAGGCAAUUGAUGGCUUAGUAAAAUCAUUAAGGUCUUUAUCUGAAGUAGUGCUGCAGAAUCGCAGAAAGUUAGACUUAUUAUUAUUGCAACAAGGAGGAUUAUGUGUGGCUUUAAGGGAAGAAUGUUGCACAUAUGCAGACCAUACCGGCAUAGUUAUAGACACCAUGGCUGAACUUCGAAAGCAGCUGGAACAACGGAAGAAGGAACGAGAGACUCAGCAAAGUUGGUAUGAGUCAUGGUUUAAUCAUUCUCCCUGGUUAACUACCUUGUUGUCUACCAUAGCAAGACCCUUGAUAUUGUUUAUUUUGACCCUGACGUUUGGAGCAUGUAUUUUUAAUAAGCUCAUUAACAUAGUUAAGGGAAGAUUGGAAGCCGCUCAUUUAAUGCUAAUUAGAGCUAAAUAUGAACCCCUGUCUGGAAUAGAGACAGAAAAGCAUUUGGAACUUAGUAGAAGGGAAUUAGCUAGAUUUAAUGAACAAAAAGAGUAAAAAGGAAAAGGGGGGAUUGUGAUAAGAAACAGAAGUCCCUUUUUGUUCACUGUCCGUAUAAGGUUAAGAACAAUGUAAAUCAGUAACUGCAGCUGUGUUUAAAGACGUAAGUGAAACUAGUUAUAAAGAACAAAUAGUGUUGCAAUCAAUACUUAUAAGGUUGCGUAAGAACUUUUUGCAGCCCAAGUCAAGAAGAAGACACUGAGGAAGACUCGCGAGGGCCUUCAUCAACGACCACCAGAAGGUAGAAAACGAACCCCUAUCAACUGCCGGAGCACGCGCGAUAAGCACCAAGAGGAUGACUCAAGAAGAAGAGCGGGUGCUUCAAAAGAGAACUGAAAACCGUGGUCGGCGCGGCAGUUGGUGGAGCGGUGACUCCCCUGUCGCCCAGCGCUGCAUUUUGCUUUUCUUUCCAAUAAAUUGCUAUUUUAAUUGGCUAAAAUGGCCCGUUGUGCUCAUUGAUAACAAUUUGGUGCCGUGACUCGGAUCGGUGAUAGGGGUGAUUUUCUACCCGUGAGGGGGGCGCCCCACCAUUUUGGUGGCCCUCGGGGUUAGGAGGUCGCCCUACUCCCGACCGACGAACCUAAAAUUAAGGAAAGGAAAGCAAAGGGAAUUGAGGGCCCAGGGAACCCCUUAAAAGCUUUGUGCACAAGGUCCGGACGAAGACGCAGGACGCGUGCAGCCGGGAGAUUGGGUCCUGGUCCGGAGCUGGAAAGAGAACCCGUUAACCCCGAAGUGGGAGAGACCGUAUUUAGUACUACUCACCACUGAUACGGCAGUACGAACAGCAGAGAAAGGAUGGACUCAUGCUAGUCGAAUAAAAGGACCCAUAAAUCCAUCAGAAUUCUCCAAAAACAAGGAUCCUCAGUGGAAUAUCAAAGGAACACCUGGAGAUUUGAAGUUUACUUUAACAAGGACUUUAUCCUAAAUGGACGCUGGGGACAUUUGGGUAGGGGAUAAUUGAGUGUUGCAGAAAGAACUGAUUGGAACUUCAGAACCACCUGGAUAUUGUGAAUAUUUAGAAAAACUUACCCAACAACCCUACUAUCGAGAAAUAAGAUUAAUAAAUAAAGAUAAGUUAUAUAAUGGGGAAGAAAAUGUUGAUCACAAUAAUAUAAGAAUAGUUUGUAGUUGGUUAGAUUGUAAUUGUUAUCCAUUUAUAUGUUUUUGUUGUAAAAUCUGUAAAGAGUUGUGGUGGGUUCAUUGCCGAAGAGGGCGGGCUCCUAGAAGUGUGUGUCAACCCUGUUGGGGGGAACAGCGCGAGCUGACUGCCCUGGCCCUAAGUCAGAAAGUAGCAGCUCGAGAGCUUAAAGUGGGAUCCCCAUCCUGGUGGCAAAUAUUUUCUAAAGGUAUAAACCCCGAACUUUGUUGUUAUCACUCUAACGAGCCUGUGGGACCGUAUAACACGGAUAUUGUGAAGGCGGAGUGCCGAAAACAAGUAAAAGGAUUGAGGUGUGACACCCCACCAGUAAAGGACAAAAAUUGGCAUGCCACAAGAAGAAAGUGGAGGAGGGGAGCAAGCUCUACCCCUGAAGAACAUCCUUGCUGCCGUGAAGAUGGGUUACCCCGCAGCUAGCCGCAAUCUAGUUGGGGGGCGAGGCAGAAGGGUGAACAGUGGGGAAAAAGAGCCUCCCAAUUUAGUUACCACUAAGGUACUCACCCACGUGUGAACCCCAGGCCGAAAAGAGGGUAACAAGGGAAAUAAAACAAAAAGAAUUUACAAACAACAAAUUAGUUUCGGCCAUAAGCAACCCACAACUCUAAAGGUAUGUGUAAUGGGAAUAUUUUUAGGAUUUAUUAUAAAACCAAUAGCAGCUGACCAUGAACCUUUUAAGUGGACCUUAAGUAGAUGGGAAAGUCAUGAUACAAAGCAUGAGCUCCAGUCUGUCAUCUCCUCUGAAGCCCCAAGUUUUACAGCAGGAGUUUGUAAUUUAACUAAAGUACAACAUUGUGGUCCCUUAAAUCAUACAAGCUUUUAUAUGUGCCCUGCCUCAAAUCCCGGGAGGUCCUAUUGUAAUUAUCCGGGAGAAUAUUAUUGUGGAUAUUGGGGUUGUAAGACCAUUGCAUUUGGAUAGAAACCGGGAGCUGGGCCUGACAAAUUUCUUAAAGUAAAGUUGGAGUCCUAAAGGUUGUAAAACCCCAUGGUCAUGGGAUUCUGGCUGGUGUAAUUCCCCCAGUUGUCGAGGAAAUUGUACAUUUAUAUUUUUAAAUGCUUCUCAACCAGAAGACGCAGGAUGGCUGAUAGGCCGGACGUGGGGAAUUAGGCACUGGAAAGAUGGGCGUGAUUUCGGAAAUUUGAUCCAGAUAAAAAAGGAACCUAUACCAUAUGAUUUGGAGCCGAUAGGGCCAAAUCCAGUUAUAGGGGGUGAGAGUACAGAAAAUCAGACUAAAAUCUUAGUUCCAGGGAAAAAUGAGACAGAAAAUGAGACAGAAGUUGAAAUUGAAAACUAUCAAUCCUUUAGAGGAUACAAUGCGCUGUGGAAAACAUUACAAGCUACCGUCACGGUAUUAAACCAUACGUACCCGAAUUUGACAGAGGGGUGCUGGCUAUGUUAUAUGAUGAGACCUCCCCUAUAUGAGGCCUUGGGCUCCACAGCAAAAUCUAAACGAAUCAAUGGAACAAACCCCAGGGAAUGUUUAUGGAAAAAAGGAAGAGAGGACACCCCCGGAUUAUCACUGACUCAAGUGAUAGGGAAGGGAAGGUGCGUAGGAAAUGUACCCCCAGAAAAAGACCAUCUCUGUCAAGUAAGAAUGUCUAUUCAUGAUAUCCGGAAACCUGCUCAAUAGCUUAUUCCUGCAGCAAAUGCUAAAUGGAUCUGCAACAAUUUAGGAAUUACUCCCUGUUUAAGCAUCCAACACUUUAAUGAAACAUCAGAAUACUGUGUUCAGGUUCUUAUUAUCCCUCGUAUAUCAUAUCACACGAGGGACUACGUACCGAAACACCAAAUUACCCCUGAACAUCACCUAGCAAAAAGGAAACCCUUUACAGCACUUACAGUAGCAGUAUUAUUAAGUGUUGGGGGAGUUGGGAUUGGUACUGGAGCAGCUUCAUUAAUACAACAACAGCAAGGGAUGAGAGCUUUAAGGGUAUCAGUAGAUGAAGACUUGAACAGAAUGGAAAAGGCAAUUGAUGGCUUAGUAAAAUCAUUAAGGUCUUUAUCUGAAGUAGUGCUGCAGAAUCGCAGAAAGUUAGACUUAUUAUUAUUGCAACAAGGAGGAUUAUGUGUGGCUUUAAGGGAAGAAUGUUGCACAUAUGCAGACCAUACCGGCAUAGUUAUAGACACCAUGGCUGAACUUCGAAAGCAGCUGGAACAACGGAAGAAGGAACGAGAGACUCAGCAAAGUUGGUAUGAGUCAUGGUUUAAUCAUUCUCCCUGGUUAACUACCUUGUUGUCUACCAUAGCAAGACCCUUGAUAUUGUUUAUUUUGACCCUGACGUUUGGAGCAUGUAUUUUUAAUAAGCUCAUUAACAUAGUUAAGGGAA